rnacentral:tRNA from 3 species
GCCUUGGUGGCGAAAUUGGUAGACGCGCUGGAUUCAAAAUCCUGUGGUGGCGACACCGUGCGGGUUCGAGUCCCGCCCGAGGCA